AAAAAGAUUCCCUCCCCCUCACGCCUUGCUGUCAAUCAAACGCUUGUAGGCGGGACUUGAAGCGACAAGAACCAAUCAGAAAAGAGCUCCCCCUCCACCUCACGCUUUGAUGUCAAUCAAACCCUUAGAGGCGGGAUUUGAGGCGUCAAGAACCAAUCAGAAGAAGGAUAGAGUGAGAAGGCGUCGCUGAUAGGCUGAGCUCGGCGCGGUGUGGACCAAUCAGAGCGAGCCACGUGACUCUGUCCGUUGCCGCCCUUUGGUGUGAGGCGGUUUGGAACGUACCAAGUGCGGGGACGGGGCGGGGGGGGAAUAAUUAUAUUUAUAUGGGGAAUACGGAGAUUUUAAGGCUAAAAUAACGAAUAAUGGGAUUAAAGGGGAUUUUACAUAGAGAAUAAUAUGGGGGGGGUUGCUUGGGAGGGGAUAAAAUGGGGGGAAAAAGGGGAUUUUUGGUUAAAUCUCCCCCCCCCGGAGUGAAGGAGAAGUGGUACGGCCCAACCGGAAGUGAGGUGUCGAAGCUGUGAGGGGAACUUCCGGUGUCGGGGGGAGCGGCCGCGGGAGGGGACGGAGCGGGGGGAAAUAGGGAUCUCUAUAGGAUCCCUAUACAUACCCUAUAUGAUGAUGCUGUGCAGCAUGGUGGUGCUGCUGUGCAGCUAUAGGAGCUGUAAUUAACCCCAUUACCUCCCCAUUUCCCCCCCAUAUCCCCCGUUAUCUCCCUUUCUGACCCCAUUCUCCCCCUCUAACCCCAUUAUCUCCCCUAUAGGAUCUCUAUAGGAUCCCUAUAGGAUCUAUAUGAUGAUGCUGUGCAGCAUGGCGGUGCUGCUGUGCAGCUAUAGGAGCUGUAAUUAACCCCAUUAUCUCCCCAUUUCCCCCCCAUAUCCCCCAUUAUCUCCCUUUCUGACCCCAUUAUCCCCUAUAGGAUCUCUAUAGGAUCUCUAUAGGAUCUCUAUAUGAUGAUGCUAUGCAGUAUGGCGGUGCUGCUGUGCAGCUAUAGGAGCUGUAAUUAACCCCAUUAUCCCCUAUAGGAUCCCCUAUAUCCCUAUACGAUGAUGCUGUGCAGCUAUAGGAGCUGUAAUUAACCCCAUUAUCCCCU
rnacentral:lncRNA from 1 species